GUCGGUGCUGAUGCACUGGGCGACGGCGUUGCUGGCGCUGGUGACGUUGGGCUGCAUCCUGGUGGCGACCCAGUUCCACCCGGCUCCGGCC
rnacentral:tRNA from 1 species